UCGAAAGCGGGAGCCUGGAGAACCGGUAAAACUCGGUGCCACGCCCGUUGUGCUCCAAAGUGUCUCGAGAGCGUGAGGUGCGGAGAGAAGAGAUUGAAAGCGACAACGCAAAGGGCUUUUCACACAUUUGAUUUUGCUAGUAAUCGGCGCAAUGUCUGACAUUCACGGCGAGAAGUCGGACAAGCCUCCUGCGUACCAGGAUCAGCCUCAGGUGUACUUUGAUCAACCUCAGAUGUACAGCGCUCAACCUCAAAUGUACCAGGCCCAACCUCAGAUGUAUGCUGCCCAGCCUCAGAUGUAUGUGACCCAGCCUGAGAUGCACCAGGCUCAAAUGUAUCAAAAUCCGCCUCAGAUGUACGCCGCUCAACCUCAGGUGUAUAUGGCCCAGCCACAGGCCUUCUCGAUGCAAGAGGGCCAGCCUAAAAUGCAUGAAAAUGAGACAUACCAGACUCAGUCUCAGAGAGUCCAUACGUCUGAGACCAGGGACGACCACGAUGGAGGCAGCAAGUGCCCCAAAUGCUGCCGGAAGACAGGGAAUUGCCUCAUGAGCCCUGAGUGCGGCCGGGCGCUGCAGCUCUCCAGCGUUAUCGCCACGUGCGCAAUUUGUAUCCGUUUUUUUGUGUAAUCUCCAAUCUUACUUUUCCGGGAUCUUUUGACAUCUUGAAAGGGAUCCAUUGCUACUGGUAUGCCAAAUGCCAUCGUCCAUCCAUCAUGAGAAAGAGUUGGUGAGGGUGGGCUGUUUAGUAUGUAAAGAAGAAUUUCUUAAUAUAUAAUUGUUUUUCAUGCAAAUCUUGUGAGGUGGAUUGUACUUUUGAAUCAAAUAUAAUGGGGAAAAAAAAGAA